GACGAACGCUGGCGGCGUGCUUAACACAUGCAAGUCGAGCGGUAAGGCUCCUUCGGGAGUACACGAGCGGCGAACGGGUGAGUAACCCGUGAGCAAUCUGCCCUUCACUUUGGGAUAACCCCGGGAAACCGGGGCUAAUACCGAAUGCGACCACCGAUGGCAUCGUCUGGUGGUGGAAAGUUCCGGCGGUGAAGGAUGAGCUCGCGGCCUAUCAGCUUGUUGGUGGGGUGAUGGCCACCAAGGCGACGACGGGUAGCCGGCCUGAGAGGGCGACCGGCCACACUGGGACUGAGACACGGCCCAGACUCCUACGGGAGGCAGCAGUGGGGAAUCUUGCGCAAUGGGCGAAAGCCUGACGCAGCGACGCCGCGUGAGGGAUGACGG
rnacentral:rRNA from 1 species